UCUGCUGUAGUAGAAUGCAGUCAAGAGAUGUCCGGCUCGGCGGAGGCAGAGGGAGAGCCUGCUGCAGGGUCUCCAGCUGCUAAAGAACAAGUCCAUAAAGUAAAUUGGAAGAUCUUCUUAGGACAGAUGCCACAACUAUGAGAGGAGGUUCAAUGGCUUUGGCUACCCCAAGUGGUUCAAUCUGAGCUGCGCCAUUAGCUGGAUCAGGAAUAUCCUCUCCUUAUGGGACCCAAGGUGACUUAUAACAAGUUGAAAGAAAGAUGUAACAUUAUA